GACGAACGCUGGCGGCGUGCCUAAUACAUGCAAGUCGAACGAGAGCAACCGGUGCUUGCACUGGUCAAUCUAGUGGCGAACGGGUGAGUAACACGUGGGUAACCUGCCCAUCAGAGGGGGAUAACAUCCGGAAACGGAUGCUAAAACCGCAUAGGUCUUCGAACCGCAUGGUUUGAAGAGGAAAAGAGGCGCAAGCUUCUGCUGAUGGAUGGACCCGCGGUGGAUUAGCUAGUUGGUGAGGUAACGGCUCACCAAGGCCGUGAUGCAUAGCCGACCUGAGAGGGUGAUCGGCCACAUUGGGACUGAGACACGGCCCAAACUCCUACGGGAGGCAGCAGUAGGGAAUCUUCCGCAAUGGACGCAAGUCUGACGGAGCAACGCCGCGUGAGUGAAGAAGGUUUUCGGAUCGUAAAACUCUGUUGUUAGAGAAGAACAAGUGCUAGAGUAACUGUUAGCGCCUUGACGGUAUCUAACCAGAAAGCCACGGCUAACUACGUG
rnacentral:rRNA from 1 species